AGUGAACGCUGGCGGUAGGCCUAACACAUGCAAGUCGAACGGCAGCACAGUAAGAGCUUGCUCUUACGGGUGGCGAGUGGCGGACGGGUGAGGAAUACAUCGGAAUCUACUUUUUCGUGGGGAUAACCGAGGGAAACUUACGCUAAUCCCGUAUUCGACCUACCGGUGAAAGCCAGGGAUCUUCGGACCUUUCGCGGUUGAAUGAACCGAUGUCGGAUUAGCUAGUUGGCGGGGUAAAGGCCCACCAAGGCGACGAUCCGUAGCUGGUCUGAGAGGAUGAUCAGCCACACUGGAACUGAGACACGGUCCAGACUCCUACGGGAGGCAGCAGUGGGGAAUAUUGGACAAAGGGCGCAAGCCUGAUCCAGCCAUACCGCGUGGGUGAAGAAGGCCUUCGGGUUGUAAAGCCCUUUUGUUGGGAAAGAAAAGCAGCAGGUUAAUACCCCGCUGUUCUGACGGUACCCAAAGAAUAAGCACCGGCUAACUUCGUG
rnacentral:rRNA from 1 species